AAAAGUAGCAUCUGGAUCUUAGUGUGUUCAGGGAAUGAUGUUCCCAUAGUCCUUCCAUCCAGAGCCCCUGUGCAUCCUCAGAUCCACCUAGUCCCACUUGCCCUUGCAGAACAAUCGCCAGGAUGAUGAAUAGCUCUGCACUGGAUGAGGGAUCAGUGAGGUCAUAUCUGGAUCUUAUUCAAUGAUUUUUCAAUUUUAACUUCAGGCCAAAGCCAGAGAACUAGAGGUGCAUAUCUGAGUGUUAAUUCGGAGACUACCUGGAAGAUUCUUGUGGACCACCAACCACCCCCAGGCGACAUUUGAGAACCAUCUGUAGUGGUGUAAGGAAGAAAUAAAAUGACUUCACUUAAAGAUCUUUGAGGAGCCCUGGAGAAUAGGCGUUGGCAUAAUCAAUUCCCAAGAUUGUGAUGGGAGCUGAAUGUGAGCAGAAAGGGCUCUUGGGAAUUUCCACUGGGACUACAGCAGAGUGCUUAGGGAAGGGCUUAGGGGACCUCAGUAAUCCCUGUUCCGAUAUUAACACUGCUGCUUCCAGCUAUAUCUGGAGUGUAAAUUUUUCUGAAGAUAAGAUAAACUGCAGUGUUCUGGGAAAGAUGGUGAAAUAAGAGGCCAGAACAGAAGAAGUGAGAUUAGACAAAUUCUAAAAAAGAAUCUGAGCAAAGACUAAGAUGCCCAUUCAGAUGUUUGAUAUUGAAAAGAAGUGGAUGUUAGGGUAGCUUUGUGCACAGAUUCAUUAUCUGGUGUGUUUUGGGGAUAAACAUCCCCAAAUAAACAUUAAUUAUUAAAGCUCAUUGUAAGAAAUUCUGAAAAUCAUAAAGAGCAAAUCUACUAG
rnacentral:lncRNA from 1 species